rnacentral:lncRNA from 1 species
AAUUUACAUUUUGAUUUUCUAUGUCUUAGUUUUCUUUCUGAUUUAACUUUAUGAAAAAUAAUCUUGUAUAGGUUGGAUGCUUAUCAGUAUAAUUGGUUUGUUGAAUGCGUCAUGCUUAGUAAGACACAAACAGAACAUAGCUUUAUUCUUCUUUUAAAGGUAUUGGAAAAACUAACUUUGAAAAAUCAGAACAGGGAGUUCCAGUCAUGGCUCAGCAGUCAAUGAACCCGACUAGGAUCUAUGAGGAUGUGAGUUCAAUCCCUGUCCUCGCUCAGGGGGUUAAGGAUCCAGCGUUGCCAUGAGCUACGGUGUGGGUCACAGACGUGGCUCGGAUCCCAUGUUGCUGUGACUCUGGUGUAGGCCAGCAGCUACAGCUCUGAUUGACUCCUAGCUUGGGAACCUCCAUAUGCCAGGUGCAUGUGUGGCCCUAGAAAGACAAAAAGACAAAAGAAAAGAAAAGAAAUAUUAGAACGGGUAGUACAAUGUAAAUAAAACUUCCGUUUUCCCGUGUAGCCUGAACCCUAGCUUGGUGGUGAUCAUCCCCAAGAAAGAAGGAUCCUUUCUUCUCUUUGUGCUCUCUUUCCCACUGUCUCUGGCUCUGCCACAGUCAGCAGGGGCAGAAGAGGGACCAGGGCAGCUGCAAUUAGCUGAUGCUGUUUUCAUGGCCAGCUCUUUCUCAGUGUACCCUAACGGGUUCUUGGGAGGUCCUCUGGAGGGUCCAUCAACACCAUGCCACUUUUGGGUGUGGGCAGUGUAACUCCUUGGUGGCCACUUAUGCCCUGCAGCUCCUGACCUCCAGUUAUAUUAGUGGAGUGUCCCCCUGUCAAGACAUCCCGCUUGGGUGGAGACCUAACAGCAUCUGAAUUCAAACCCCAUUAUCCUUUAUAAGAUUCACUUGGGGGAGUUCCCGUCGUGGCGCAGUGGUUAACGAAUCCGACUAGGAACCAUGAGGUCGCGGGUUCGGUCCCUGCCCUUGCUCAGUGGGUUAACGAUCCGGCGUUGCCGUGAGCUGUGGUGUAGACUGCAGACGCGGCUCGGAUCCCGCGUUGCUGUGGCUCUGGCGUAGGCUGGUGGCUAUGGCUCCGAUUCAGCCCCUAGCCUGGGAACCUCCAUAUGCCGAGGGAGCGGCCCAAGAGAUAGCAACAACAACAACAAAAAGACAAAAAAAAGACAAAAAGACAAAAAGACAAAAAAAAAAAAAAAAAAAAAAAAAAAAAA